GCCGUGAUCGUAUAAUGGUUGGUACUACUCUGCGUUGUGGCCGCAGCAACCCCGGUUCGAAUCCUGUUCACGGCA